AUUGAAUGCUGGCGGCAGGCCUAACACAUGCAAGUCGAGCGGAUGAGUGGAGCUUGCUCCAUGAUUCAGCGGCGGACGGGUGAGUAAUGCCUAGGAAUCUGCCUGGUAGUGGGGGACAACGUUUCGAAAGGAACGCUAAUACCGCAUACGUCCUACGGGAGAAAGUGGGGGAUCUUCGGACCUCACGCUCUCAGAUGAGCCUGGGUCGGAUUAGCUAGUUGGUGAGGUAAAGGCUCACCAAGGCGACGAUCCGUAACUGGUCUGAGAGGAUGAUCAGUCACACUGGAACUGAGACACGGUCCAGACUCCUACGGGAGGCAGCAGUGGGGAAUAUUGGACGAUGGGCGAAAGCCUGAUCCAGCCAUGCCGCGUGUGUGAAGAAGGUCUUCGGAUUGUAAAGCACUUUAAGUUGGGAGGAAGGGCAGUAAGUUAAUACCUUGCUGUUUUGACGUUACCAACAGAAUAAGCACCGGCUAACUUCGUGCCAGCCGCCGCCGUAAUAC
rnacentral:rRNA from 1 species